CUGGUCUCUAUUUUUCUUCGAAUUUACCGUUUUCUUCAUGUAUUGUGAUAUCCGAUUUCUGUUUUCGACAACUUCAGACUAUAAGGGAACCAGAACUGUGUUACUUUGCCCGUUUUUUAAUUGAAUUGUGAACUGCAAAGACCGAUUUUGUCCACUCGACAGUCUUCGUUGUGUUGCUCUAUUAAAAAAAAUCUGUACGGUCCCAUUCACUUGCUGCCGAUGCAUGUUGCAUGUAAUACGCUGUUUGAUCCAGUCAAAAGUCAAGAUCUGCAUACUUGCUGACUCUGGUGACUUCUGGUCUCUGCUCGCUACUUCAACCUGGGAGAUUUCAUCAUGUCCUUUUACUUUGAUUUGGAUAUAGCCAUUUUUUCUUCACUCUUUCCAGGAGCUACGGUUUGCAAGUUUUGGACUGAUAAUGAUACAACAGAAAAUUUAUCUUUAUCGAUCUUGGAAACAAUUUUGAGCACAGUUUUGGAGAGAACUAA